AGGGCACCACCAGGAGUGGAGCCUGCGGCUUAAUUUGACUCAACACGGGAAAACUCACCCGGCCCGGACACAGAGUGGAUUGACAGAUUGAGAGCUCUUUCUUGAUUCUGUGGGUGGUGGUGCAUGGCCGUUCUUAGUUGGUGGAGCGAUUUGUCUGGUUAAUUCCGGUAACGAACGAGACUCUAACCUACUAAAUAGUUCGGAACGAGCUUCGUGCUCGAUCAGACUUCUUAGAGAUACUGGCGGAUUCAAGCCGCACGAGAAUGAGCAAUAACAGGUCUGUGAUGCCCUUCGAUGUCCGGGGCUGCACGCGCGCUACACUGAAGUGUGCAGCGCGGCUUGCUACCUGCUCCGAAAGGAGUGGGGAACCAAGUGAGAAUACUUCGUGCUUGGGAUAGAGCAUUGUAACUAUUGCUCUUGAACGAGGAAUUCCCAGUAAGCGUGAGUCACUAGCUUGCGCUGAUUACGUCCCUGCCCUUUGUACACACCGCCCGUCGCUACUACCGAUUGAAUGAUUCA
rnacentral:rRNA from 1 species